rnacentral:piRNA from 2 species
GUGACCAAUUUCCUAAGAGAAUCAGGGUCCU